rnacentral:piRNA from 1 species
UGGCUCACUGGUAGGUGUCUCUUUGUGG